rnacentral:rRNA from 1 species
AUUGAACGCUGGCGGCAGGCUUAACACAUGCAAGUCGAACGAUGAAACUCUAGCUUGCUAGAGAAGAUUAGUGGCGGACGGGUGAGUAACAUUUAGGAAUCUGCCUAGUAGUGGGGGAUAGCUCGGGGAAACUCGAAUUAAUACCGCAUACGACCUACGGGUGAAAGGGGGCGCAAGCUCUUGCUAUUAGAUGAGCCUAAAUCAGAUUAGCUAGUUGGUGGGGUAAAGGCCCACCAAGGCGACGAUCUGUAACUGGUCUGAGAGGAUGAUCAGUCACACCGGAACUGAGACACGGUCCGGACUCCUACGGGAGGCAGCAGUGGGGAAUAUUGGACAAUGGGGGCAACCCUGAUCCAGCCAUGCCGCGUGUGUGAAGAAGGCCUUUUGGUUGUAAAGCACUUUAAGCAGGGAGGAGAGGCUAAUGGUUAAUACCCAUUAGAUUAGACGUUACCUGCAGAAUAAGCACCGGCUAACUCUGUGCCAGCAGCCGCGGUAAUACAGAGGGUGCGAGCGUUAAUCGGAAUUACUGGGCGUAAAGCGAGUGUAGGUGGCUCAUUAAGUCACAUGUGAAAUCCCCGGGCUUAACCUGGGAACUGCAUGUGAUACUGGUGGUGCUAGAAUAUGUGAGAGGGAAGUAGAAUUCCAGGUGUAGCGGUGAAAUGCGUAGAGAUCUGGAGGAAUACCGAUGGCGAAGGCAGCUUCCUGGCAUAAUAUUGACACUGAGAUUCGAAAGCGUGGGUAGCAAACAGGAUUAGAUACCCUGGUAGUCCACGCCGUAAACGAUGUCUACUAGCCGUUGGGGUCCUUGAGACUUUAGUGGCGCAGUUAACGCGAUAAGUAGACCGCCUGGGGAGUACGGCCGCAAGGUUAAAACUCAAAUGAAUUGACGGGGGCCCGCACAAGCGGUGGAGCAUGUGGUUUAAUUCGAUGCAACGCGAAGAACCUUACCUGGUCUUGACAUAGUGAGAAUCCUGCAGAGAUGCGGGAGUGCCUUCGGGAAUUCACAUACAGGUGCUGCAUGGCUGUCGUCAGCUCGUGUCGUGAGAUGUUGGGUUAAGUCCCGCAACAAGCGCAACCCUUUUCCUUACUUGCCAGCGGGUUAAGCCGGGAACUUUAAGGAUACUGCCAGUGACAAACUGGAGGAAGGCGGGGACGACGUCAAGUCAUCAUGGCCCUUACGACCAGGGCUACACACGUGCUACAAUGGUAGGUACAGAGGGUUGCUACACAGCGAUGUGAUGCUAAUCUCAAAAAGCCUAUCGUAGUCCGGAUUGGAGUCUGCAACUCGACUCCAUGAAGUCGGAAUCGCUAGUAAUCGCAGAUCAGAAUGCUGCGGUGAAUACGUUCCCGGGCCU